UGUAAACAAAGGUAUUGUUCUCAAGAAAGGGAUUACACCGCCUAGUUAGUUCUCAUGUUAUGAAUCUGUUACCGCACUGUCAUCAUGACAUUAUCGCUGCUUGCUAGUUGUUGGUAAACAGGUGCAAUUAUUUCAGGUGAAUUUGGAGUAUGGAAAGUAGGUCAAUUCGUGAUAAGUGAUACGAUGACAUUGUUUUGUUGAAAAAAAAAUACGGUGACAGAAAUCUGGAUAGUUUACAUAGAUCAUGAGUUUAGAAACUGUCGACAUCUUGGAUAACAAUAAUACACCUCUUAUGGACUGUGGCACUGUUCAUAACCUGAAAAGAAGAAGGGUAGAAGAUGAAUACACAGAACAGCCCCCGGAAACAACUUCCUUAUACAGGAAGCACUUGAUCCCAAUCAGUCGAAACAGCGGUGUUUUCUCCACAACAAACUGGAAAGAUAGUGGUACAGCCAUUUUCUGCCCUGUCACGCAUGAUUUGUUUUUGAAUAUUCAUAAAUAUGACCAAAUCACCACUUCCCAAGGGAAUUUCUUCGUUGGAAAUGUAGAAGGAAAUUACGAGAAGACUAUAACAGGCAAUGUAGUUCACCUCUGGAAACAUGAUAAAACACAACGACAGUUUUACAUUGCGCAAUCCUUACUCUUCGCUGUGCCACAGGAUUUUGCCAUUAUGCAGAAAAUAUUACAUUCUGUAUGAAUGCUGAAACCAGAUUUCAUAUCAUUUGUUGCCAUAAACCACCGUGCUCUAUAUCAGUAUUCCGAAGUCAAUACCCUAGCAUUUCUCAUUGACAUUCCAUUACGUAAGGAAGGGAGGCUAGCGAAAAACUCUUUUUUACUGCAUGACAUACAUAGAGGCUUAUAAAGUUUCUUUUCCACGCCAGAUUCAUUUAGAAAGGAAUAGUUAAACUUGUGUGCCUUUAAGACAUCUAGCAUUUUCAUUAUUUUCUUAUACAUAUCACAAAGAGUGUAACAGUACGGUGACUUGUAAAGGACUUGUAUUAGAAAGUUAGAAAAACAAUGUGAGGAAAGGGAAUAUAGAUAUAUGUCUUGUAUGAUCAAGAUUUUAUUUUGUAUGGAAAUUGAGUAAUGGCUAUUAAUUCGCGUGAAAAUUCAGUACAUGUUUAUUGGUACUUCAAGCGUCAACGACAGCUAAUUUUAUUUUUCAAAAAACAGUGUAAUAGUAUAUACAAAAAAUGUCCACAUAUACAUGUAUGUCAAAGUCGCAAGCUGUGGUUUGCGACAAUGCAUAUAAGUAUAUUCUCUUUUGUUUUCAUAAAAGUUAUUUGAUAAACUUGGACCAUAUGCUCUAACUCUGCUACAAUACACAAAUACAUGCACUAAAUUACUUUUCUUAUCAUACCGGUACAAAAAUGUUGAUAUACAUAAUUUGAAUUUAAUUAUGGUAUUGGUCCUAUAAAUAGUCAUAUUAAAUACUGUGUACAGGGUUAUUGUUAUUUUGUGUUAUUUUCGCUCUUUCACAAUUUUGUCCCUUUUAAAUUCGCCCGGUCACAAUUUUGUUAUAGGUAUUUUACUGUCUUCUUUGAAUUCACAUCGUCUUAAAUAUGUCCACCUGUGCAUAUGUCAAAAGGGUGAAAAUGUAACGGAGGCGAAAAUAUUCCUUAUUGUACCUUUAUUUUCAUAGUUUACAUUUUUUUGUAUACAUGUAUGCAUGGUUCAACUUGCAUAUUUGCAUAAUUGAAAAUAAUCAAACUUGAGAAAAAACUUGAAUUUGAAGCCUGAGUGGCAUAUAUUACUAGUCUGAUAUUGACAUCACAUUUUUUAAAGAAUAAAUAUAUAACGUAUGGUUUACCAGUCUCGGUAUUUUACUUAUUUAAGGGGGCUGGGUGGUUGUGGCCAUUUUUAGACUAUUUUGAUCUCCUUUAAAAGAAGAGCUCCAUAUUAAAGAUAUAAUAAAAUGAUCAAAUUUUAAAUCUAAAAUUUUUGAAUUUUUUCUCUGCCAAAUGAUAGUUGACAGCUUAAGAUAUCAUAUCCCAAAAUUUUAGUUACAUCUUGUGGUUAAUAAAUAA